rfam:Trachymyrmex cornetzi contig15856, whole genome shotgun sequence.
GGGAAUCCGGUUCCUAUUCCGGAACCCGGCAGCGGAACCGCAUACAAUUCGGGCCCUCGUAAGAGUGUUCGUCGGGGUAACCCAAAAUGACCUGGAGACGCCGUCGGGAGAUCCGGGAAGAGUUUUCUUUUCUGUAUAAGCGUUCGAGUUCCCUGGAAACCUCUAGCAGGGAGAUAGGGUUUGGAACGCGAAGAGCAUCGCAGUUGCGGCGGUGUCCGGAUCUUCCCCUCGGACCUUGAAAAUCCAGGAGAGGGCCACGUGGAGG